rnacentral:rRNA from 1 species
GAUGAACGCUGGCGAGAUGCCUUACACAUGCAAGUCGUACGGGGAUUUUUAAUUCAAGUGGCGGACGGGUGAGUAACGCGUAAGAAUUUGCCUUUAGGAGGGGGACAACAACUGGAAACGGUUGCUAAUACCCCAUAUGCUUUCGAGUGAAAUGGAUUUUUCCGCCUAAAGAGAAGCUUGCGUCCCAUUAGCUAGAUGGUGAGGUAACGGCUCACCAUGGCGACGAUGGGUAGGGGGCCUGAGAGGGUGGUCCCCCACACUGGUACUGAGACACGGACCAGACUCCUACGGGAGGCAGCAGUGAGGAAUAUUGGUCAAUGGGCGAGAGCCUGAACCAGCCAUGCCGCGUGCAGGAAGACGGUCCUAUGGAUUGUAAACUGCUUUUAUUUGGGAAUAAACUCCGGUACGUGUACCGGCCUGAAGGUACCAAAUGAAUAAGCACCGGCUAACUCCGUG